rnacentral:rRNA from 1 species
GGCUCAGGAUGAACGCUAGCGGCAGGCUUAACACAUGCAAGUCGAGGGGCAUCGGGAGUAGCAAUACUGCCGGCGACCGGCGCAAGGGUGCGUAACGCGUGAGCAACAUGCCCGUAUCAGGGGGAUAAUCCAUGGAAACGUGGUCUAAUACCCCAUAGUAAUUAUGUAAGGCAUCUUAUAUAAUUUAAAGCUUUGGUGGAUACGGAUUGGCUCGCGUGACAUUAGCUAGAUGGUAAGGUAACGGCUUACCAUGGCUACGAUGUCUAGGGGUUCUGAGAGGAAGGUCCCCCCACACUGGAACUGAGACACGGUCCAGACUCCUACGGGAGGCAGCAGUGAGGAAUAUUGGACAAUGGAUGGAAAUCUGAUCCAGCCAUGCCGCGUGCAGGAAAGACGGCCCUAUGGGUUGUAAACUGCUUUUGUAUGGGAGCAAUAAGGGCUACGUGUAGUCCGAUGAGAGUACCAUACGAAUAAGCACCGGCUAACUCCGUGCCAGCAGCCGC